rnacentral:rRNA from 1 species
UACGUAGGGGGCAAGCGUUGUUCGGAUUCAUUGGGCGUAAAGGGUGCGUAGGCGGCGCGGUAAGUCGGGUGUGAAAUCUCGGAGCUUAACUCCGAAACUGCAUUCGAUACUGCCGUGCUUGAGGACUGGAAAGGAGACUGGAAUUUACGGUGUAGCGGUGAAAUGCGUAGAUAUCGUAAGGAAGACCAGUGGCGAAGGCGGGUCUCUGGACAGUUCCUGACGCUGAGGCACGAAGGCCAGGGGAGCAAACGGG